AAUGUGUCCAGACAUUGCCAGAUGUCC
rnacentral:piRNA from 1 species